CCGCUCGCCGGAAGACCAAGGGUUCCUGUCCAACGUUAAUCGGGGCAGGGUGAGUCGACCCCUAAGGCGAGGCCGAAAGGCGUAGUCGAUGGGAAACGGGUUAAUAUUCCCGUACUUGGUGUUACUGCGAAGGGGGGACGGAGAAGGCUAUGUUGGCCGGGCGACGGUUGUCCCGGUUUAAGCGUGUAGGUGUGUGUUCCAGGUAAAUCCGGUUCACUUUAACACUGAGGCGUGACGACGAGGCACUACGGUGCUGAAGCAACAAAUGCCCUGCUUCCAGGAAAAGCCUCUAAGCAUCAGGUAACAUCAAAUCGUACCCCAAACCGACACAGGUGGUCAGGUAGAGAAUACCAAGGCGCUUGAGAGAACUCGGGUGAAGGAACUAGGCAAAAUGGUGCCGUAACUUCGGGAGAAGGCACGCUGACAUGUAGGUGAAGUGAUUUACUCACGGAGCUGAAGUCAGUCGAAGAUACCAGCUGGCUGCAACUGUUUAUUAAAAACACAGCACUGUGCAAACACGAAAGUGGACGUAUACGGUGUGACGCCUGCCCGGUGCCGGAAGGUUAAUUGAUGGGGUCAGCGCAAGCGAAGCUCCUGAUCGAAGCCCCGGUAAACGGCGGCCGUAACUAUAACGGUCCUAAGGUAGCGAAAUUCCUUGUCGGGUAAGUUCCGACCUGCACGAAUGGCGUAAUGAUGGCCAGGCUGUCUCCACCCGAGACUCAGUGAAAUUGAACUCGCUGUGAAGAUGCAGUGUACCCGCGGCAAGACGGAAAGACCCCGUGAACCUUUACUAUAGCUUGACACUGAACAUUGAGCCUUGAUGUGUAGGAUAGGUGGGAGGCUUUGAAGUGUGGACGCCAGUCUGCAUGGAGCCGACCUUGAAAUACCACCCUUUAAUGUUUGAUGUUCUAACGUGGACCCGUAAUCCGGGUUGCGGACAGUGUCUGGUGGGUAGUUUGACUGGGGCGGUCUCCUCCUAAAGAGUAACGGAGGAGCACGAAGGUUGGCUAAUCCUGGUCGGACAUCAGGAGGUUAGUGCAAUGGCAUAAGCCAGCUUGACUGCGAGCGUGACGGCGCGAGCAGGUGCGAAAGCAGGUCAUAGUGAUCCGGUGGUUCUGAAUGGAAGGGCCAUCGCUCAACGGAUAAAAGGUACUCCGGGGAUAACAGGCUGAUACCGCCCAAGAGUUCAUAUCGACGGCGGUGUUUGGCACCUCGAUGUCGGCUCAUCACAUCCUGGGGCUGAAGUAGGUCCCAAGGGUAUGGCUGUUCGCCAUUUAAAGUGGUACGCGAGCUGGGUUUAGAACGUCGUGAGACAGUUCGGUCCCUAUCUGCCGUGGGCGCUGGAGAACUGAGGGGGGCUGCUCCUAGUACGAGAGGACCGGAGUGGACGCAUCACUGGUGUUCGGGUUGUCAUGCCAAUGGCACUGCCCGGUAGCUAAAUGCGGAAGAGAUAAGUGCUGAAAGCAUCUAAGCACGAAACUUGCCCCGAGAUGAGUUCUCCCUGAGACUUUA
rnacentral:rRNA from 1 species